CAUUAACCCUUCCACAUUACUGAAUGAUUCUAUAAUAAUAUAGAAAACAUAAUGCUAGAACUAGUAACAAGAAUUUUGAUUCUCCAAAAAUGUAAGUAUCCACCAAACACCCUGGUAAUUAACGAAUGUGAGCCCACUGCAACAACCACCAAGAAAACUCUGCAUAACCCUUCGUCAACCUAACACUAGAACAUUCCUGGAAAGAUUUAAAGGGAAAGAAGGAACUCGGCAAAUUUCGACCCCGCCUGUUUACCAAAAACAUCGCCUCUUGAUUAACAAUAAGAGGUCCAGCCUGCCCAGUGACAAUUCAACGGCCACGGUACCCUAACCGUGCAAAGGUAGCAUAAUCACUUGUUCUUUAAAUAAGGACUAGUAUCAACGGCAUCACGAGGGUCACACUGUCUCCUUCCCCUAAUCAGUGAAACUGAUCUCCCCGUGAAGAAGCGGGAAUAAACCUAUAAGACGAGAAGACCCCAUGGAGCUUUAAACUUUCAGCAACUAAACCACACACCCCCUUAUAUUAUAAAAUUAUGCUUAACAGUCUUAGAUUGGGGCGAUCGCGGAGUAAAAAUCAACCUCCAUGACGAAAAGAACUAAAUCUUUAUCCAAGAUCCACUACUCUAAGAAUUAGAACACUAACGCUCAUGACCCGAUAAACGAUCAACGAACCAAGUUACCCUGGGGAUAACAGCGCAAUCUACUUCAAGAGCUCAUAUCGACAAGUAGGUUUACGACCUCGAUGUUGGAUCAGGGCAUCCUAGUGGUGCAGUCGCUACUAACGGUUCGUUUGUUCACGAUA
rnacentral:rRNA from 1 species